AGAAUCAACGCUGGCGGCGUGCCUAACACAUGCAAGUCGAACGCGAAGGAAGACUUCGGUCUUCUGGAGAGUGGCGCACGGGUGAGUAACACGUGGGUAAUCUGCCUUUGGGUGGGGAAUAACGAUCCGAAAGGGUCGCUAAUACCGCAUAAUGCAGCGGCACCGCAUGGUGACAGUUGUUAAAGGGGGGGAUCGAAAGACCUCUCGCCGAAAGAGGAGCCCGCGUCCGAUUAGCUAGUUGGUGAGGUAACGGCUCACCAAGGCUUCGAUCGGUA
rnacentral:rRNA from 1 species